rnacentral:rRNA from 1 species
GGUGAACGCUGGCGGCGUGCUUAACACAUGCAAGUCGAACGGAAGGGCUCCUGCUUGCAGGGGUACUCGAGUGGCGAACGGGUGAGUAACACGUGGGUGAUCUGCCCUGCACUUCGGGAUAAGCCUGGGAAACUGGGUCUAAUACCGGAUAGGACCACAUUUUGGAUGGUGUGGUGGAAAGUUUUUCGGUGUGGGAUGAGCUCGCGGCCUAUCAGCUUGUUGGUGGGGUAAUGGCCUACCAAGGCGUCGACGGGUAGCCGGCCUGAGAGGGUGUACGGCCACAUUGGGACUGAGAUACGGCCCAGACUCCUACGGGAGGCAGCAGUGGGGAAUAUUGCACAAUGGGCGCAAGCCUGAUGCAGCGACGCCGCGUGGGGGAUGACGGCCUUCGGGUUGUAAACUCCUUUCGCUAGGGACGAAGCGCAAGUGACGGUACCUGGAGAAGAAGCACCGGCUAACUACGUG